CUAAAAUAAGCCACAAGCUGUAUUAAGGUUUUAAGGGGAAAAGAAUCCAAAAACCAAUAUAUUUCUCCCACUGGCAACCAGAAGGAACUGCAGAAGCUCAUUGGGAUAUGCAAAACUCAUUCGUUAAGUAAUGCUGGAGAGUGACAGAUGCUGACAUAUAUAAUUUGACAGCUGCAAAUACCAG